GACUGGUCCAAGUGCAGUGGUGUUUACAACUAAUUGAUCACAACGAGUUACAGAUUCCCUUGUUCCUUCUCCACUCACACUGCUUCACUUGACUAGCCUAAA
rnacentral:Y_RNA from 1 species